GGACUGAGGGUCCUUUUAGGUUAGCCUCUGAAUAUUUUGUUAGGUUAGCUUUCGAUUGUCAAUCAAUCGGGGUCUUCAUAGGCAUUGGCUCACUAAAAAGAGAGCACGGCCUUUGGGGGUCCUUAUAGGUUAGCUCCCACUUCUCGAUCUGUCAAGAUCUUUUGUCCAUAUGGAUUGGAUCGACGAAUGUUGGAGGUCCUUAAAGAUUAGCCCCUACUUUCUGUUCAACUAAGGUCUUCAUGGGCCGUUGGCUAAUUGAAAAGUGAGCGGCCUUUAGGGGUCCUUAUUGAUUAGCCCCCGCUUCUUAGUUGCCAAGAUCUUGAGUUACAGAUCUAUGUACGAAAGAUAAGAAAACUUGUCAAUCUGGCUCUGGCUAGACCUUCUAAUUUCAGAUUAAGUCGAGCUUUGGAGUAAAAAAAAUAAUAGAUAAUUAGAUUGUGUUAUCCCAUUUUUUAGUUGGUUUGCUUUUAGUCAGCCUUCAUUAGUUGGCAUUCUUAAAUCACUUUAUUUUGAAUUUUGAGAGCUUGGCUUCGGAAGGUUGACCUUUGAGAGUUUGGCUUUUAGGAGUUCACCUUUUUGGGGGUCAACCUUCGGAGGUCGAUUUUUGGAUGGUCCAUAUCAAGAGCUCGGCCUUAGGCUUCAUCUUGGCAUCGAACUUUACCUUAACCUUGAUUCUUCAUCUUGAUUGUUAGCCUUUUGCUUGAUAGCCCGAUCUUAGUUUGCUCAAAUUUAUCUUUUGAUGGCUUUGGCCUUUUGGUGAUAUUGAUCUUUUGAGGCUAGUCUUCUGAUGACCUAGAUCUUUGGUUGUCUUUACCUCAUGUUGGUCUUCAUUCCAUCUUUGGGUUUGAUAUCUACUGUGGUCUUGUUUAAUUUUUGCCUCAGCACAUGUGCUUA
rnacentral:lncRNA from 1 species